rnacentral:tRNA from 1 species
GCAGGAGUGGUGGAACUGGCAGACACGCUAUCUUGAGGGGGUAGUGUACAUCGUGCGUGCGGGUUCAAAUCCCGCCUCCUGCACCA